rnacentral:rRNA from 1 species
ACACAUGCAGUCGAACGAUGAACUCCAGCUUGCUGGGGGGAUUAGUGGCGAACGGGUGAGUAACACGUGAGUAACCUGCCCUUGACUCUGGGAUAAGCGUUGGAAACGACGUCUAAUACCGGAUACGACCAGCCCCGGCAUCGGGUGUUGGUGGAAAGAAUUUUGGUCAAGGAUGGACUCGCGGCCUAUCAGGUAGUUGGUGAGGUAAUGGCUCACCAAGCCUACGACGGGUAGCCGGCCUGAGAGGGUGACCGGCCACACUGGGACUGAGACACGGCCCAGACUCCUACGGGAGGCAGCAGUGGGGAAUAUUGCACAAUGGGCGAAAGCCUGAUGCAGCAACGCCGCGUGAGGGACGACGGCCUUCGGGUUGUAAACCUCUUUUAGCAGGGAAGAAGCGAAAGUGACGGUACCUGCAGAAAAAGCACCGGCUAACUACGUGCCAGCAGCCGCGGUAAUACGUAGGGUGCAAGCGUUGUCCGGAAUUAUUGGGCGUAAAGAGCUCGUAGGCGGUUUGUCGCGUCUGCUGUGAAAACCCGAGGCUCAACCUCGGGCCUGCAGUGGGUACGGGCAGACUAGAGUGCGGUAGGGGAGAUUGGAAUUCCUGGUGUAGCGGUGGAAUGCGCAGAUAUCAGGAGGAACACCGAUGGCGAAGGCAGAUCUCUGGGCCGUUACUGACGCUGAGGAGCGAAAGGGUGGGGAGCAAACAGGCUUAGAUACCCUGGUAGUCCACCCCGUAAACGUUGGGAACUAGAUGUGGGGACCAUUCCACGGUCUCCGUGUCGCAGC